AACGUGUUUUACACUUUAAUUACCCACCCUGCCACUCCUAAACUCCUCCACCUCUUCUGAGAAAAACUGCUUAGACUGAUCGCACGCACGCCGCGCACCACUUCCUCCUCGCACGUUCGCAUGCACAAGAGCGCUCCAUCCCCAACCUCCCUCCUCUCCCGAUCGGCGCCUCACCUCCCCGUCCCCGCAUCCCCGGUGCCAAGCCGCCCUCCCUGCACCCGCAUCGCCGCCCCUAGCAUGUCGUCCGCUCCGCACGCAUACCACCGAUGACCCUGACCGUCGUGAACCCGAUCUGGCCGGGCAUCCAGGGGAACGCCGGCAGUGAGGUCCUGGAGGGGGGCGGCUUCUUCCUCCCGUCGCUCUCCCACCGCUCCUUCCCGUCGCUCUCCCACCGCUCCUUCCCGGCGCCCACCCACGCCUGGUCCAGCCGCAUCUGGGCGCGCACCGGCUGCGCGACAGGCGACUGCGGCGGGCGGCUCCAGUUCUCCACCGCAGGUCUCCCUCCACCACGGCGGCAACGAGCAAUCGUCCUACGGGGUGAGCGUGGUGGACGGGUUCAACGUGGGCCUCUCCGUGACCCCGCACAAGGGCCGCGACAACUGCCCCGUCUUGGCCUGCUGCAAGGACCUGACCCAGAGCUGCCCGGGCGAGCUGCCUGUGCGUACAUGAUGUUCAUCCUCGGCUUGUCACACACGCAAUCUUCUCGGCUUAAUUCCAUCUCUUCCCCAAUUGGAAACAAAUCAGCCUGAGACUCAGCCUUGCCAAGGUCGAGAACGCCUCGCAGAUAUGUAUGAGGACGUCUAAUCGAGAUUUCCGGCUGCAGGGCGCAAUUAGUGGAAGAAGGUAUUACGAUUUUCCAGAUUGUGAUUAAUCGCUUCUCAACUCAAAAAUUCCCUCUUCUAUAGUCUUGUGAGAUCGUUCAUUCAUUCAUAAAGAUCAUCCUCAUACAUAUCUCUUUCUCACUCUGAUUUCAUGUUUUGAUUGGGAUUCGAAAAGAGGAACUGAGAUGUAUGUUCGUGACUUGUAAGCAGCAACAAAAUUUAGCAAUUUAUAUUUUUCUAGCCAUCCAAAUAUCUUGCUCCAUACCUUUCUUAGAAUUUUUUUAUUUGAUCAGCAGUGUUCUUAAUUACUUGUACCCUAUAUAUUUGUGUGCUAAUUAGCAAGAUUGUUAGUAUAUCCAUCUGGUAAUGAGAAUGAAAACUGGCAUAUGACUUUACUGAGGCCUCGAAAGGAGCAUAAACAAUUUGUUAGAAUACAGACGAGUACUUCUACUGCUAGGAAUUCAGAACAACUAGCUUAGUUACUGCUGAGGAACAACCUAAUGAAAAAUUAUAGGAUGACAAUAUAUUGAGUAAGCACAAAACUGUUACUUAUUCACCUAAUAAAAAACAUGCCAAUUGACUGCAACUUUUACUGUGAAUGUUUAUGAACCCACUCUUCUGAAUAACUAAGAUGAUAAGGCAACAAAAUUAUAGUGUAUCGAGUAUUUAUUUGCAACUGAAAUAGAAAAAACAGCAUAUGUUUCUGUGGCCUUAGGGGUUAGGGCCCCUUUUUGUUGUCUUUCCCCAGGCCCCUAAAUUCUCAGGACCGGCCCUGGCUCCAAGUCCGUGGCCGACCUGGUUACCACCGUCCGGAUGUUCAAGGUGGUCGUCCCAAGAGCUCUAAGGUGUGACCGCCACACCAUCGGCUGAUCCACAAUGGCCAAAUCUUGUAGAAUGAGAACAUCCUAGCCCGAUACGUUAACUGGAGAUGUUCCGUCAUUCAAACAUGUUGAUGGCCAAGCAAAAUAUUCAGCCUGAAUAAGUCUUUGCUGUAUACUCUAAACACUUACAGCAAGAUGAAGCUGGCACAGUGAGGCUAGAGACGGGUCACAUUUGGUCGCACAUGGGAGUUGUUCUUGUGAACGUGGGUGAUGAGAUUGACACAAAGCUGCCGAGGAAGGAGCGGGUGACAUUUGUUUCUAAAGGGUAUCGAGUUUCAUAUGUUUUUAUCUCCUUUGUUAUUCUGAUUACGAGUCGCAUUACCAAUCAUUCAACAAUUAUAGUUUGAUAUUUUAGUUCCAUCUCAAUCAUUCAUUUAUGCCUGAUCAGCCAUGAACGUGCAACUACAUUAAAGUUUGCAUUAAAAUUUUGUUUGCAAAUAGAGGUCAGCGAAGCCUUUUCUUGGCCCAGACAGACCUGCACCGCCCGCCCACCUGACAGGAGCUAUAACUAUUCUACAUAUUUAGGAGACAUUUAAUAUUGUGUGCGGCGUGCAGGCUAUUCAUUUAGGACAUGAUUUCCUUUCAAAAGGUAUAUAUUUUGGCCAGAUUUUUUUACACUGAGAGGCUUAAAUUCUCUGGAUAUAUCUCACUUUGGGGUUUGUAUUUUGCUAUCCUCGACCAUGAUAAUUAAUGAUAUAUUCUGUGGCAUAGAGAUUAUGCCUCCUGUAUGUAGUGACGCAAAGGACCCGUGUACACGCGUCACAUAGAGGAGGAGGCUGAUAGCAGGCAAGCGUUUCCCAAAUAUCAUAUUAUAGUACUAGCUUUCUAGAAUUAAAUGGAACUACAUAUUGUUUUCAACUUCUAAGCAAUGUAUUUAUAUGCCUAUUUGACAAAUUCCCCUUUAAUCUGAAUCACAAGAAACAGAGAGUAUACAGAGAGUGCGUGGGAGAAAUUUACGUGCCAUCAUGAGGAAAGAGGGAACAACCUACGGUAGUAUGUUAUACUGACCAGUCUAAAUUGUAGUUCUAUUUUCUUUUUCAACCAGAUUUUUUUCUUGGGAUCAAUAUAUGUUGUAUACUGAAAUCAUGUUGUAUUAAGAAGUAUCAUGACAAAAUUAUCUUCUCUAAUUACUUGUUAUGUUUGACAAUGGGAUGUUGGGGGAUUAAUCAGUAGAUUCAAUGUUCUUAUUUUACAAACUAUCGGAGACCUAAUGGAUGGAACAUAUAUAUUAUUGUAUUUACGCAGCAACAUGACUCCACCCUCUGCUGUUCUAUUUUAAAAAUACAUCUUAAGUGAUAAUUAAUUUGUUGUCCCGCAAAGCAAUUUUACGGGCCCGGUUGAGUCAUUUUGCAAGUUUUUGUUUGAAAUUGUACCGGCGCUGCAAGUUUAUGUCUUAAUAGUGCAAUUAACUCUUAUUUUUAUGCCUGAUGUAUAAGUACAGAUUUGUUAUAUUUUAAUAUUUCAUGAUUUUGACAACCUGAGCAACCAUCAUUGGUAUCCACUUUCAAGAAUUACUAGCAUUGGUACCUGAUGCUUCAUCUUGUUGCAGUGUUGAUUCUAUAUCUCGAGCAAAGCAGAUUCUUACCUCGAUACCUGCAAGAGCAAGAGAAGCAUACAACCAUAGCCAGGUAAUCGUGUCAUUCACAGAUCAUUGGUGACAGAGGCAUAUUUUCUUUAAAGGUGCCUCUGUUCAUAACAUGUCUGAUUAUGUGUCGCGGGAUUAUAUAUUGGGGGCACUAGCUAGCAAAACAGUAAUUCUUGUAACCCAUCAAGUCGGGUUCAUACCAGCUGCUGACUUCAUACUGGUAAUAACAUUAUCCUUACAAUCGAAGCACUACUUUUUAGAGGCUAAUGCACAAGGUAUAUAUGCUGUUUCAAAUUUAUCAGCAAGUUAAGUUGUUCAAUUCGAUGUGUUGUUUAUGCAUGUUUCCUGAUGAGAAUAGCAAGUUAAGUUGUUCAAUUCGAUGUGUUGUUUAUGCAUGUUUCCUGAUGAGAAUAAUACAACAGAUUCUGCAUGAAAGUUUUGCCAUCUUCUGUAGUAUUUCUCAUUAGAAUGUUCAUGGGAUAAUGGGCCCUUGGUCUCUCAUUUGUGCUUUUUUUUCUCAUGGCACAUGCUCAAGGAUGGUCAUAUCGCCCAAGAUGGAAAAUAUGAGGAUCUUCUCCAAGCUGGAACUGAGCUCAAUGCACCAAGAACAAAAUCAAUUGAAGCAACACUUCAUGUAUAAUGUAUUGUGAACCUUGGAUUGAGCUCAUGUGUGUGGUUUAUGUAUUGUGAGCCUUGGAUUGAGGUCAUGUGUGAGGCUAAUGUAUUGUGAGCCUUUUACUUUGUAAUAUGUGAUAAUGAUGUGACAGGCUCAUGGAUUGUGGACACCAAAUUUAUGUGGCAAUUCUGUAAUGUGGAGUACCCAUGAUGACAUGACAAUGCCUAAAUGAUGCCAAUUUUUCUGUCUAA